GAUGAAGAACGUAGCGAAAUGCGAUACGUAGUGUGAAUUGCAGAAUUCAGUGAAUCAUCGAAUCUUUGAACGCACAUUGCACCUCUCGGUAUUCCGGAAGGUAUGCCUGUUCGAGCGUCAUUUGUACCCUCAAGCUCUGCUUGGUGUUGGGUGUUUGUUCCGCCUCUGUGUGUGAACUCGCCUCAAAACAAUUGGCAGCCGGCGUACUUGUUUCGGAGCGCAGCACAUUUUGCGAUCCAGAUCAACGUACAGCGGCAUCCAAGAAGCCUUAUUUAACGCUCUUGACCUCGGAUCAGGUAGGGAUACCCGCUGAACUUAAGCAUAUCAAUAAGCGGAGGA
rnacentral:misc_RNA from 1 species